rnacentral:misc_RNA from 1 species
GAUGAAGAACGCAGCAAAAUGCGAUAAGUAAUGUGAAUUGCAGAAUUCAGUGAAUCAUCGAAUCUUUGAACGCACAUUGCGCCCGCUGGUAUUCCGGCGGGCAUGCCUGUUCGAGCGUCAUUUCAACCCUCAAGCCCCCGGGUUUGGUGUUGGGGAUCGGCCCGCCCCGUGCGGCGCCGUCCCCCAAAUUCAGUGGCGGUCUCGCUGCAGCCUCCCCUGCGUAGUAGUUACAACCUCGCAUCGGAGCUCAGCGCGGCCACGCCGUAAAACCCCCGACUUUCUGAACGUUGACCUCGGAUCAGGUAGGAAUACCCGCUGAACUUAAGCAUAUCAAUAAGCGGAGGA